ACUGAGAAGAUGAUGAUUUUUAUACGCAUAGUUCAACUGAAUGCCUUCCAGGCGCUGUUGAUUCUCACAUCAAGCAAUGUCUUUCGCUCCUAUCUGAUUCUCAGC
rnacentral:snoRNA from 1 species